GUUCUGCUGGGUCUGAAAGACCAAGUCAGGGCCUGUCCAUCCUGCGACCUCUGGCAGAAGACGGCGCUUCUGAAAGUCAGGUCUUUAAACGUGCACAGUAGCUCUCUGUAAAGAUGGCAGGGGGACCCGCUAGGGCUUUAUGACGGAAGGGUCUUGUUCCCUAACAUUGGUCUUUUCUGCUGUGUUUUGCGGUUGGCCCGGGGCUAACUGGCUCGGGCACCUGGACCCAGGGAUUGUCUACCCUUCUCUUGGAACAUUCUUCUCCUGAUUAUUUCAAAGCCUCAGAGUAGCCUGACCAGUGUCACAAGGUUUCUACUGUUUAAAUUGCUUAUUCCAGGUGUGUGAGACGCUUUGACGAUGGCCACUGACGUGGAGGUUAUGAUUGCCAUUGGCUGCGGCUUACUGCUUAUCGCAUGGUUGCUGAUUUGCUGCGUCCUCUGUCUUUGCUGCAAAGUGUUCAGGACACUGAAGGACAUAUGACAAUCGAUGGCAUCGACACAAAAGGCAGGUGACUUGGUUUGGAAGAAGGCCAACCCGAGACUCUGCUGUCUCCAGCUCCCUGCGGUCAGGCUCCCAGCGACAGAACCUCAGAGAGCAGUGCUCUGGCAACUGUCUAUAGAGAGGUGGCCUGCCCCCCUAUCUCCAGGCCACAGGCUUGUUGUGUGAAAUACAGACUCUUUAUGUGGAACUCAGCUGCCUCCUGACUUUGUUCUCUCCGGAUGUUUGCAGGCCCCUCCAGGGCAAACGCUGUGCUGUCUCUGAUCCCCAGGUACUCAGAACUCAUUUGGUGUCGGGGCCAUGACCCCAACAUCGCCUUUGCCAUUCCGGCAACGCUUUCCGC